UACGGAGGGUGCGAGCGUUGUUCGGAAUCACUGGGCGUAAAGGGCGUGUAGGCGGUCCGCUAAGUCUGAUGUGAAAGCCCGGGGCUCACCCCCGGAAGUGCAUUGGAGACUGGCGGACUCGAGUCCCGGAGAGGAGAGUGGAAUUCCUGGUGUAGCGGUGAAAUGCGUAGAGAUCCGGAAGAACACCGGAGGCGAAGGCGGCUUGCUGGGCAUUGUCUGACGCUGAGGCGCGAAAGCGUGGGGAGCGAACAGG
rnacentral:rRNA from 1 species